UACGUAGGCAGCAAGCGUUGUUCGGAGUUACUGGGCGUAAAGCGUGCGCAGGCGGCUUCUCAAGUCAGGGGUGAAAGCCCAGAGCUUAACUCUGGAAUUGCCUUUGAGACUGAGAGGCUUGAGUACGGGAGAGGUGAGUGGAAUUCCCAGUGUAGAGGUGAAAUUCGUAGAUAUUGGGAAGAACACCGGUGGCGAAGGCGGCUCACUGGCCCGUAACUGACGCUCAUGCACGACAGCGUGGGGAUCAAACAGG
rnacentral:rRNA from 1 species